rnacentral:misc_RNA from 1 species
CAGAGUUAUCCAACUCCCCAAACCCAUGUGAACUUAUCUCUUUGUUGCCUCGGCGCAAGCUACCCGGGACCUCGCGCCCCGGGCGGCCCGCGGCGGACAAAACCAAAACUCUUGUUAUCUUAGUUGAUUAUCUGAGUGUCUAUUUAAUAAGUCA